AUAAAAUAAACGAAAUGUCAAUACAUAAUUGACAGUUAUAAUUUCUUAUCAUCCUACCCAAAUUACAAGUGAAAUUAGCCCAAAUAUUCACGAACGAAAAAAAAAAAGGAAAAAUAUGAGUAGCUCAGAUGAAAAAUGUCCCCCUUGUGCUCCCGGAUGUGGUCCAUGUCCUCCGCCAUACUGCAUACCAACAGUUUUUCAACAAAAUUUGCCUGACUGGUGUCCAAUGGUUCGUGUGCCGUGUAUUUUACCAGUAAGCACACUCUGCAAAUCUCCUAAAUCAAGUCAUAUGAAAUGAAUGGUGAUGUACUAGAAUAAAAUAUGUCAGAGUAGCAGAUCUGUUAUACUGCGUUCCGUCGUAUUUAACUGCUAAAUGUUUGUUUCUCAAUAAAGAUAAAUCGUUUUUUGAGUAUUA